UGACAAGACCUCAAGUUCCAUCCUCAGCA
rnacentral:piRNA from 1 species